GGGUGUGAGGGCGAUCUUACUACGACAUCUGUCACCCCAUUGAUCGCCAGGGUUGAUUCAGCUGAUUUGGCUGUCUAGGCGGGUGUCCCCUUCCUCCCUCACCGCUCCAUGUGUGUCCCAUCUGAAGCUGUGCGCUUGGUCAAAGGGGAUGACCAUCCCGGAGAGAAGAGGACCAUUCUUCGUUCUUCAGUCAAGGGUAUACCAGUAGCUGCACUCCCCUGCUAGAACCUCCAAACAAGCUCUCAAAAAAAAGCAGAAAGAAGAGGUGGAGGAGGGACCCAGCUCUAGGAGAUCUCAAUACUU
rnacentral:snRNA from 1 species